GACGAACGCUGGCGGCGUGCUUAACACAUGCAAGUCGAACGGAAAGGCCCUGCUUUUGUGGGGUGCUCGAGUGGCGAACGGGUGAGUAACCCGUGAGUAACCUGCCCUUGACUUUGGGAUAACUUCAGUAAACUGGGGCUAAUACCGGAUAGGAGCUCCUGCUGCAUGGUGGGGGUUGGAAAGUUUCGGCGGUUGGGGAUGGACUCGCGGCUUAUCAGCUUGUUGGUGGGGUAGUGGCUUACCAAGGCUUUGACGGGUAGCCGGCCUGCGAGGGUGACCGGCCACAUUGGGACUGAGAUACGGCCCAGACUCCUACGGGAGGCAGCAGUGGGGAAUAUUGCACAAUGGGCGGAAGCCUGAUGCAGCAACGCCGCGUGCGGGAUGACGGCCUUCGGGUUGUAAACCGCUUUCGCCUGUGACGAAGCGUGAGUGACGGUAAUGGGUAAAGAAGCACCGGCUAACUACGUG
rnacentral:rRNA from 1 species